GACGUAGGGGGCCAGCGUUGCUCGGAAUUACUGGGCGUAAAGGGUUCGUAGGCGGUGCGGCAAGUCGGAAGUGAAAUCUCCAGGCUCAACUUGGAGGCUGCUCCCGAAACUGCCGCGCUAGAGUGCGAGAGAGGCCAGUGGAAUUGCAGGUGUAGCGGUGAAAUGCGUAGAUAUCUGGAGGAACACCGGUGGCGAAGGCGGCAUCCUGGACCAAUAUUGACGCUGAGGAGCGAAAGCCAGGGGAGCAAACGGG
rnacentral:rRNA from 1 species